rnacentral:rRNA from 1 species
GACAGAGGUGCCGAGCGUUAGGCGGAAUCACUGGGCUUAAAGCGUGUGUAGGCGGGUCGUUAAGUGCCUUGUGAAAUCCCACAGCUCACCUGUGGAACUGCUUGGCAUACUGGCGAUCUUGAGCCACUUAGGGGGCAACCGGAACAAACGGUGGAGCGGUGAAAUGCGUAGAUAUCAUUUGGAACGCCAAUGGUGAAAACAGGUAGCUGGGGAGUGUGCUG